CUUCUGGCCAAGGAAGGAGACAUCAAACCUUGCCCAUCUGCUGGAAUAUCUGAUCAGAUAAUCCAAACCAGCUCGAAUAGAGGCAAAUCAGAAGCAGAGAACAAAAUCAUCUAAAUCACACAACCUUUCAUCACCUGUACCAUCACAGCUGCUGCUGCACCACUGCAGACCCUAAAGCUCCAGAGCAGACAGGCAGCAGUGCGUUCGUGAAUUAAGACUUCCUGUUGAUAAUCGAUCUUCGCAGAUAGGCAGACGGUAGAAGCGAGGCGGCACGCUAAAGAUGUGCUACUGACAUCCAGCCUAAAAUUAUCGCAAGGAGCAGGAAGAAAAUCGAUGGCCAAACCCCGAAUUUGCUGGUCUUGGAGUCUGCCUUUAGAACCGUGCGGCUGUUGGUGCGGCGGCUCGUGAUGUAUAUCACAAUCUGAAAAUUAUCCUCCAGUUCCCAAGCAACCACUUAACUGGAGGGCGGGGUAUGGCAUUUUCCUUUGACCUUCAUGAACCGCUGGAAGUUUUAAAAGUUUUUACAGUUCCUUUGAAGUCAUCAAUAUCCCAGCUUCAUUUUGUGGCAGAGCUUGCUCAGGGGAGAGAAGAAGAAACGUCUCAUGCAUCCAAUUCCACAGCUAACUGCUUAUUUGGAGCUGGAUCCCGUAACCCUUAAUCAAGCAAAACUGCUGUCCUUAGCGCGAGAGUGUGAAAAUGCUCCAGGACGCUUCUUUUACUUGUUUUUAUCCUGAUACUCAUUAUUUGAAGACUACAUAUCCAGUAAGUUGAAAAAUAGGGGGUUGUUUUUGUGUCCCUGCAAGAGUCACCUCAUCUCAGACAGGUAAGUAACAGGAGGGAAUGCCUUUCCCAUACAGCGCGGUAAAUUGUGUCCUAAGUGCAAGACUAUGCUGUAGACUUU
rnacentral:lncRNA from 1 species